GCCGUACCCAAAUUACCCCGUUAGUAUGAUAGGUAUGCUCUGGGAAUUGGUGUCCUUUUGAUCUCCGAUGGACGGACGUAUUUGGCCAAAAGGGCAACAGGGUAUUUCAAUCGGGCCACCGACUCAAGGUUUUCUCCCAACGAGCCGAGGUCUGGUUUCGUUUAGCCGGCACCGAGCGACCGAGCGCCGGAAACCUUCGGAGAUUUGGGCGAUGGCGGAGGCGCGACCGACGACGACGUCUGGAACAUGGAUUCUGGACAACGCGUCGCUCUUUGUUAUCGUUCUCUUGGCUGUCCACGUCUUGGCCUUGGCCUUUUGGAUGUAUAAAUUGGCUACCCAGAAGCAACCUCCGCGAAGGAAGAUCCAUUAGAAUCACCUCUGCCAACUUUUCAAGCAUGAUCAGGGAUGCAUGAAUGUGUUGGGUCCGGAUUCCAAACCUGACUCAAGGGUAUACAUAAAGAUGGAUCAAUUUCUCUCUUCCCUCUGUCAAGAUUGAUUCCAUAUGGAUGCUUAUUGGAAGGAUCGCAUAAAAGCUCUUCUCUUGUGCAUGCUUGAAUAGCAGUAACAAACAAUGAUUUAGAAAACCCAGAGCCAACUAGGAAAUGCCAAGACACUGGUGCUGUUGGUUCCUUAAAUUAUGUUGGUCUGUACAGUUUCUUCAUGGCUCUUUUUAGUGGCAAUAAAGAACAGAUGCAGAUGAUGUCGUGGACGGAACAAAUGGAGUCAUAACCAUGCUAUGUGAUCCAAAUACUUCAAAGGUUUAUCCACAUCAGCCUCCUUCCUAAUGGCAGAGUCAUAUUCUCUAGUGCAGUUGUGGGUUCUCAAUUUAUGAGUUCACAAGCAUGAGAUUUGGACGGUAGAUAACACACAAGUAGUUUAGGAGUAAUUGGCGGAUAAGAACUCAAGAGAAAUAGAAAGAAGAUGCAAAACCCAAUGAUAACGAACAGAAAGUCUCCAUGGAUAGCUUGGCGAGCCAACAAGUCUGCUACUAUAUUAUCUUCCAUGAAAUGUGAGGCAUCUCUACCAGUAGCUGGUUUGAUCUCCAAUUUGAAUGUCCUGUAGCGGAGAAAGAAUACCAAGUUUUCAAACUGGAUGGAGCCUAAUCCAUUGUAUUGCAGUAACAGAAUCAUCUUGCAAACAAAUUUUGCAACAUUGGAAAAGAUUGACCAAGCAUAUGGUGAUUAAGAAAAUCACUAGAUCGCUAGGAGAGUACAAUUCUUAUGGAAUCAUCUAUCUCAAAUUGUAUAAAUGUCGAUCAAAUACAAAGUGACAACUAAGAGACAGGUAAAUGUCGAAAUACUACAAGAUCCUAGCUAUAUAUGCAAUGCAUGCAGCUAAACAUUGUUCAAUAGCAAUGGUUCUGCAGUUGAGCCCUCAAUUGCAUGGCUUUGUCCUUCAAUGACAAUUUUCAUCAUCUUGUGGUCUUUAGAUUUUGCCCACAACAGGAGAUACAGACCCCCAACUACAAGUGUGGCGCCAAUAAUGCUGUGCAGAAUCCCAACACCAAAACCAUUAGCAAGCAUAGAAAUUUGAUUCAUGAUAUGCAACCAAAAAAACCAUGGUAACGAUGGAAUUCGCCUAGGAGAGAUCUUUAUCAAACCUUGCAAGAUGGGCAGCAUGAUGCAAGAUGAGCAUCUCCAGAAGGAAAGAGAAGACAAUCAGCAAUGGAGAAAAUGCUGAUGUGAAGACAGGGCCUUCCUUGUGUAUGCACCAAUUCGUUGCUAGGUAUGUUAAUCCCGUAACCGCAGUUCCCUACACAACGAUGUCAGUGGAAACUUCAACUACAGAUCCUGGUAAAUGUUUUGCAUCAUGCAAGCUACUUAUUGUCUCUAUUUAGCAUUGCUAGAAGUUGAACAUGUUCGUUAACUUGAGCUAAAUGCAAUAGAAAUAACAGCAACCUGAGCUACCAUUACUAAAUUUCGUCAACUUCCAUUAGGUGAUGUAAGUCAACAUCCAACUGUGUUAGUUGAUGCUCAUUUUGAAGCAUUGGAGCCGUUAUUGGAAGCUAACUCAUGUAAAUUUCCACUUCACGCAUCCAAAAUGUCAACAAAGAAUUAGUUGUGAUUAGUGGACUUGCGGUGACAAUUUUAUUCAGCAGAGGAAACCUAGGCCUGGGGAAUUGAGAUUGUCUCUUGGCAAUAAAAUAGCAAGAAGGCUUGGUGUAAGUCCCAUAGCUGUCAAACAGAUUAAAAAUGCGCAAGGAUACGAAGAGAUGGUGGUUCAGCAAACUAAUUUAUCCGCGAGACGUUUGGUUGGAGAGACGUUUGGUGGGAAAGAACUGGGGUCUGAAACGUGAGAAUUUUUUUAAUUAUAAAUUAUUAUUAAUUAAUUAAUUAUUUUAUUUUAUUAAAAAAUAAAUUGAUUAUAUGAUCUCAGGAUGGAUAUGUACGUAAGUUCAAUAUUAUCAAGUAAUUCUUAUGUUAUAAAUUAUGCAAAUUUUAUGUUGGAUGGUAUGGUUCGGACGAUAUAAUGUAGGUCUGAAUUCGAUUUGAGUUUGUGAUGGAAGGAUAUGUUAGGGUUAGUUUUAGAUGAUUAAAUUUUUUUUAGAUGAUUAAUUUUUUUUUAUUUUUUAUGAAUAUCAUGAGAUUAAUUUUCAGAUUUAUUUUAUCAAAUAAUUAUUUAUUAAAAAAAUUAGUGAGAAAAAUUUGACUUUCGAUGUUCGACUGAGCAGUCAUGAUCGAUCGAGUUUUGAAAAUUAAUGAUCGAGCUUUAAAAAUUAAUGACGAAUAUAUAUACAUAUUUAUGAUUUUAUGUUCUGAUUUUUUGCAUAUGAUUUAAAAAAAAUAUAUAUUUGAUAUUAGCCUAAAAUAUUUUUUUGUUGGGAUCAGAAGCAAAUAAAAUAAUUAAUUUAUUUUGAUACAAUCAAUCCAAAAAAAAUCAAAAAAAAAAGGAAGAGGGACGGAUCUCCUGUGGCCGUGCCCUCUUCUCCUUUUUCUUCUCGCUGGCUCUCCGACAGGAUCAAGUUCCGGCCAUCACCUAGACCAGCCGGUGGUGAAGGGGCCGACGGAUCAUAAAAUUAAAAAAAAAUAAAAGAAAAGAAAAGAAAAGGGGAGGGGCGGCGGUUCCCACCACCGUGCCCUCCUCCUCCUACCAUGAGGUGACCGCAGGGGAUCCUCAUGCGCAGGCCGUCGGCGAUCCAGCCGGUCCAGCGGCGACCAAGAGGAGCCGAAGGAGAGCCGGUGGCGAUUCCCGUGCCGAUCCGAGGAUCCAAAAAAAAAAAAAAGCAAAUCGAGGGCGGCGGUUCCCACCGCCAUGCUUUCCUCCUCCUCCCUUGCUGCCACCGCAGGCGGCCAUGACGCCGAUGGCACCAUCUGGGCAGGCGGCGGCGACCGCGACGGCGGUGAUGUCAGGUGGUAUCCAGCAUAACAAAAGUGAUGAGAAAUUAUUGCGUGCGGUGCAUGCCCCGCCUGGACCACGCGUAGGUACAUCAGCGCAAAUCGUGGAGCAGAUGCACGGUGGAUAACGAGCAAUCGGGAAUUCGCGACAUUCAAGGAUUAAUGUGGCGUGUUAUCCACCGUGGGAUUUGGGUGGUCUACCUGGGCGUGGUCCAGGCAAUAUUUUCCCGUGAGCGGUGCAUGCAAUAAUUUUUUCUACAGUGAUGAGAUGAGGUACCUACCACCAA